rnacentral:rRNA from 1 species
GACGAACGCUGGCGACGUGCCUAAUACAUGCAAGUCGAGCGAAGUUUUUCUGGUGCUUGCACUAGAAAAACUUAGCGGCGAACGGGUGAGUAACACGUAAAGAACCUGCCUCAUAGACUGGGACAACUAUUGGAAACGAUAGCUAAUACCGGAUAACAGUAUUUCUCGCAUGAGAGAUAUUUAAAAGUUGGUUAUGCUAACACUAUGAGAUGGCUUUGCGGUGCAUUAGCUAGUUGGCGGGGUAAAGGCCCACCAAGGCGACGAUGCAUAGCCGACCUGAGAGGGUGAUCGGCCACACUGGGACUGAGACACGGCCCAGACUCCUACGGGAGGCAGCAGUAGGGAAUCUUCCGCAAUGGGCGAAAGCCUGACGGAGCAACGCCGCGUGAGUGAAGAAGGAUUUCGGUUCGUAAAGCUCUGUUGUUAGGGAAGAAUGGAUAUGUAGUAACUAUACAUGUAAGAGACGGUACCUAACCAGAAAGCCACGGCUAACUACGUG